AACUGGUACUACUGGUGAAUAUGUUCUCCUUAAUCGAAUAUAAGUGAAGUGGUGCCGCGAGUGUUCGACAUUCAAAAAAUUUUAAAUUUCGUACAUUUAUUAUAACGGAACGUGAAAGAGGUUCGAAUAUAAGAAUGUCGGGUGAUGUACAACCAAGAAAACGAAAGGAUAGGAGACGCAAAAAAGAAGAGGAAGAGUCUGAUAUACCUCCACCAACGUUGAUAAGUCCACCCGAGAGUGUGACAGAUAACGUUACUUUACAUAUUUACAAGGAAACUAGUACGGGUGGCCAUUGGUGUGCACGUAUUAUAUUUUUCAUAUUACUGGCCGUACUCGUCGCUUUAACUGGCAUAAUUAUUUUCGAGCAUAGAGGAACUACGGAUGUGGAUACGCCAAUAGGAGAAUCACGAUGGGCUAAUAUAUUUGAUGGAUGGGUAGAUGAUACUCUUCCAAGUCAUGGAGAUGAAUCUUAUGAUGAAAAAGAUGUAAAAGCUAGUGAGGAAGAAGAAGAAGAAGAAGAAGAAGAAGAAGAAGAGGGGAAGGAAGGUGAAGAAGAGGAAGAAGAAGGAGAAGAAACGGAAGAAGAAGAAGAAGAAACAGAAGAAGAAGAAGAGGAAGAAGAAACGGCUGAUGUAACGAUAAAAUCAGCUAAAGAUAAAACGGAAGAAGAAGAAGAAAAAGAAGAAAAUGAUGAUGAUAAUGAAGAAGAGAAUGUUAAGGAAGAUGAGAACGAAGAUAAAGAUGAAGGUCUAGGUAUUGAAGAAGAAUAUGAAGAAGUAGAUGAACAUGACCGUAAAGAAGAUGAGGAGGAAGAAGAAGAAGGAGGAGAAAAAGAAGAUGAUGAUAAUGAUGAUGAUGAUGAUGAUGAUGAUGAUAGUGGUGUUAAAGGAAUUACGAUUUCAAAGGAAGAAGCAGACGAAGAAGAUGAGGGUAUCGAUCCUGGAGAAUCUAAUAUGGAAGAUGACGACGAUUUAAAUCGGCAGAGCUUAGACGACACCGAUGUGUUAGAAGAAAUGGACAAUAAAAGUGGUGAAGACGAUGAUGAUGAGGUUGAGAGAAAUAUUUUGAAAAAGAAUGAUUAUUACGUUACCAAAGAAGCUCCUGAAGAAGCUUCCGAGGAACAAGAGGAUCAGGCAUCUGAAGAAUUUGUUACGAUACCAGGUGUCCUAGAAAUGGUGGAUGAUUACAGUGCUGAGCCUUUGGAAGAGGUAGAGGAUGGAGAACCUGAAGAAGAUGUGAAUGAUAUAGACAUUGAGCCAGAAGUGGAAGAAAUAGAAGAAGAAUCAACGAGUGUGGCAGUGAAGUUUGGAGUUGGUGUUGCACUUAUCAUUGCUGCACAUUUUGUUCUCGUUAGGCGAUGGAACAACGCUGACGCCGAGUUAAAUCAACUUUCGCAUAACGACGAAGUGAUUAAUCUAAAUAGGCGGAAUACAAUAAUAGUUCCAGCAUCUGUGAAGGAAGCAGAAACAUUGCAAAUCGAAGAACAAAAUCGAAUGCUAACCACCAAGAAAAAACAGGCUUAUGAAACUUUACGAACGAAGUAUGAAAAAUUAGAAACUGAAGAUAAUAAACCCGAAAAUGUUAUUGUAGAAAAAACUUUGAGCCCGUCAGAAGAAACAUGGUCCAAGCUUAAGACGCAAGUUGUUGAGAAAAUUAAUGAGAAGCCAUCGAAAGUGAUAUCAUCCGAAGAAGAAACGGAAGAUGUGGAAGAUGAAUUGGAGACAUCAGAUGGAGAACGUAUUUCCGGUACAGAAGAAGAUGAAGACGAAAGAGAAGAAGAUGAGGUGGAAGAUGAAGAGGAUAUUGAAGAAGAAAUAGAAGACGUUGAUGAUUCGGAAUUAGUUGCUAGAUUAGAGGCAAGAUAUGGUAAAUUGGCAACUCCGCAAGACAGCGAGAUCGAGGAUGAAUUAGAAUAUGAAGAAGAGGAAGAAGAAGUUGAAGAUGAUGAUGAUGAAGAAGAAGAAGAAGAAGAAGAAAUAGAAGACGAGGAUGUAGCAGGAUGGAAACGUAUAAAAGCACCUAAAGAGACAACAGGAUCGUCUAAGCCUGUACCUUCGGCUACAGAUAAAUCUGGGAUUAGCCCUAAACAAGGAGUUUCUACAACAAAGGGUGGUAAAGCAAUAAACGAUUUUCGAAAUAUGUCAACCAUGGACGAUUUGGUGAUAUACGAAGAAAAAGAAAUACCUCUGGAAAUUGAUGACUAAGUUUCACCCUCAUAAUCCUUAACAUUAUCCACUAUUUCCAUCAAUCAUUUCAUGUGUUUUAAUUUUGUCAACACAAUAUACAACUUGGAUGUUUUAUUUAUUUUUUUUUUUUUUUUGAUAUAUAAUUGUUUUGUAAAUAUUUCUGUGUAAACUCAUAUUAAUUGAUUUGCAAUUAAAAGCAAUAGCUUUGGGUUUAAUAUUAGUCAAUAAUUGUUGACAUUUUUUCAUCUUCUAAACGUGUUACUUGAAGUAGUAAUAUCAUAAAGAAAAAAAAAAGAGAGGAAAAAAAAGAAAGAAACUAUAGACAUACCAAUUAAUAUAUUAUUAUUCAAAAAUAUAUGUGAAAAUCUGUAAAAUUAUAUGAUUUCUUAUAUUUACAUGACAAUAUUAUAAAAAUCUUUCAUAGUGAUCUGUCCUAAUCACCCAUUCCAAUUUUCUUCCUAAUAUUAGAAGAUGAGAGAAGAAUAACUUACCAGAAAAGAAUUGAUAAUACAAUAAUCAAAAACAGCAAGAUGAAAGCAGUAGGGAUAUGAUGAAAGUAAAAUGUGUAUUUUCAUGAAGAUCUUAAGAAGAAAUUUUAAUUGUGACAUUAUUAGGCAAAAAUUAACGGAUUAAGCGUAAAGUAACUUAAUACUUAUGCUUAUGUCUGUGCUUACGCGGAGAAGGCGAAGGUGGACUAUUAGCUCUAUGUUUAGAGGAAGUACGAGGUGGCGGUGGAGGUGACAAAGAUGGAGAUCUACCACGUCUUUUUCGAUCAUUACGUUCACUGCCUGGCGAUCUUCUUGAUGUUCUAGAUGAAGAAAGAGAAGGUGAUGGUGUACGUCGAAUACGAGGAGGCGAUGGAGUCACUGGUACACGCUUUUUAUAUGGUGAUCGCGAUCUACGUUUAUUACGCGGUGAUCUACUGCGGGAUCUAAAACAAUAUAAUAAUAAUAGAUCAUAUUGAGAUCAUAGGAAGACAUCCUUAUUAAUUACAAUUACCUCAUCAUAUAUAUUUUUUUGUUCUCUUUAUUUUUAUUUUUUCCUUUUUUGUGAAUGUUAAUUUAAUUAAUGCUUGUAAAUUAUCAGUAUGUAUAUCUUAAAAUAUGUGCUGUUACGAGAUUUAUAAUUAUUGUUGUUUAUUACUUCAAUAUUUUUCUAGUAUAUUAUUUUUUUUAUAUCAUUAACGCGAUAAAUGCAGUCGUUUUGAAGUCCCACAAUAUUACAAAUAAUUAAAAGAACACGCAUACAAUAUAUAUAUAUAUAUAUAUAUAUGUGUAUACACAAUCAUAAUACUUAAAAAUCUAGUAAAUGAAUAGUGAAUAUGAAAACAGAUGUAAAGAUUAAUGGAUAAUGUAAAUACAAUAAAAUAAUAUAUAUAUAGAUAUUUUCUUAA